GAUGAACGCUGGCGGCGUGCCUAAUACAUGCAAGUAGAACGCUGAAGGCGGAGCUUGCUCUUCUGGAUGAGUUGCGAACGGGUGAGUAACGCGUAGGUAACCUGCCUUGUAGCGGGGGAUAACUAUUGGAAACGAUAGCUAAUACCGCAUGACAACAGUUAUUGCAUGAUAACUGUUUAAAAGUGGCGACUGCUCCACUACCACAUGCACCUGCGUUGUAUUAGCUAGUUGGUGAGGUAACGGCUCACCAAGGCGACGAUCCAUAGCCGACCUGAGAGGGGGAGCAGCCGCACUGGGAGGGAGACACGGCACAGAGGCCUACGGGAGGCAGCAGGAGGGAAACGGGGGGAAGGGGCGGAAGACUGACCGAGAAAGGCCGAGGGAGUAAAGAAGAAUGUCGGAUCGGAGAGCACGGUUGUAGGGGAAGAAAGAGUGUGAGAGUGGAAAGAACAGACAGUGACGGUAACGGACAAGAAAGAGACGGCUAACUACGUG
rnacentral:rRNA from 1 species